UACGUAGGGGGCAAGCGUUGUCCGGAAUCAUUGGGCGUAAAGCGCGUGUAGGCGGCUCGAUAAGUCUGCUGUGAAAGUUCAGGGCUCAACCCUGAAAUGCCGGCGGAAACUGUCGAGCUAGAGUCCGGAAGAGGCGAGUGGAAUUCCUGGUGUAGCGGUGAAAUGCGCAGAUAUCAGGAGGAACACCAUGGCGAAGGCAGGCUCGCUGGGACGGACUGACGCUGGAGACGCGAAAGCGUGGGGAGCAAACAGGG
rnacentral:rRNA from 1 species